GUCCACAAGAGACCAAAAUGACACAGACAUUAACAACUAUAGGUCACCGUACAGCCUUCAACAAUGAGCACAGCCCAUACCGCAUAGUCAGCUAUAAAAAGCCCUGAUAAAACAAUGUAAAAUAAUUCAAACGAGAAAACAAACGGUAAACUAUUUCAAACAUCAUCUCCCCUGAAACUACUGAAGCAAUUACUACCAAACGUUAGCUGAAUAAUUCUUAGGGUAUAUAAACUUUGUGUUUUAUUUUAUGUUUCGUUUAAAAACAUGGCCGCCAAGGCUAAUAAUAUAACAAUGGGGUAAAAUGCAGUUUUUGGCUUAUAUCUCAAAUACUAAAGCAUUUAGAGCAAAUCUGAUGUGAGGUAAAAUUGUUCAUAAGGUAAAGUUUUAUCAACCCUAAAAUUUUCAGAUGAAUCUGAUAACCCAUUGUUGGGUUGCUGCCACAAAAUUGAUAAUUUUAAGGAAAUUUUAGAAGUUUUUAGUUAUUAUCUUGAAUAUUAGCAAAAAUGUUCAGCAAAGUAAGAUCUACAUAAAAGUUUAUGGGACCAAAAUUGUCAAUGGACCCCUUAAGGAUUUACUGCCCUCUAAAGACAAUUUACUGAAUUUGUUCAUCUAGUUUGCUUGCUUUAAAACUGCUGAAUCACUUUCAGCAAAACUUAGGCUGAAUGAGUUGCAGAAUAUCUAGUAUAAUUUU
rnacentral:lncRNA from 1 species